rnacentral:tRNA from 1 species
GGUGGUGUGGUUCAGUGGUAGAUUGCUUGCCUAGCAGGUGUGAGACCCUGGGUUCAAUCCUCAGCACCACAU